AGAAUUCUCUUAUCCAACAUCAACAUCUUGGUCAGAUUUGAACUCUUCAA
ensembl:miRNA